CUGUGCUGUGAGGAGAUGCCCGUGAGAAAUCACCGAGAAGCACACUCUCCUGACUGUCAGUCCAUCUGCCUGGCAGCCCAAGGGACCAGCUACCGUGUAAGGCCACCAGUGUCCUGCGUUACCAACGUGUCCCCAGCCUUGGCAGAGCAUGGAGCACCUGCCCACAGCCAGAACACAGUGGAGCAUUGGAACCUGUGGGAGAAGGUUCAGCUGAUUCAAUGGGUUGUGUGACUGGACUCUGAACUGCAUCUGAGAGAACCUGCACUGGUGACAGCAUCACCUUCUACAGGAGAGGAAGGGAUGACUCUCUGGGUGCAGGAAACCUCUUCAGCUGGAUCUUUUGGUGAUGGAACCACUGCCUGCUAGGCCUGUGAGGACAAGCCUGGGAACUCAUAGGUAGCUGCAAGAUGAGCUGCUAUAUUCUGUGCUGUUCUGCACCUGUCAGAAGAGCAUUCCAAGGACAUCUGUAUCUCUGCUUAUCACUGGCCCCUCGGGACUGUACUCCCUCUCUUGCACUGUCUUUUGUGAAAUCCCAGAAUAAGUCAUCUUGUGUUCAUCUCUAGGGCUGGCCACUUUUUACCAACCACAGCUCUUCAGAAGCUCCAGGAAAUUCAGCAGCUGUGAGACUUUUCCUCUGGGGCUGACGGCAGCAGGCAAACACACUGAGUCACAUUUGAUCAACUCCUGCUCUCUGCAGAGGCUGUCUAAAUCAGUCAAAUGAAAUGGAGUGAGUGACUUUCUGUUUAACUGGUGCACAGAGAACAGAAUUAUCCUCAUGCUGGGUUUAAAGGCAUAAUUCACAGUCAAAGGUCUUCCUACCUCAUCAACAAUUUUCUAGAAAUCUGGUUGACAAAAUCUUGUGCUCACUCUUUCCUCCUUGUUUUCUUUUU